rnacentral:rRNA from 1 species
AUCGAACGCUGGCGGCAGGCCUAACACAUGCAAGUCGAGCGGAUGAAGGGAGCUUGCUCCUGGAUUCAGCGGCGGACGGGUGAGUAAUGCCUAGGAAUCUGCCUGGUAGUGGGGGAUAACGUCCGGAAACGGGCGCUAAUACCGCAUACGUCCUGAGGGAGAAAGUGGGGGAUCUUCGGACCUCACGCUAUCAGAUGAGCCUAGGUCGGAUUAGCUAGUUGGUGGGGUAAAGGCCUACCAAGGCGACGAUCCGUAACUGGUCUGAGAGGAUGAUCAGUCACACUGGAACGGAGACACGGUCCAGACUCCUACGGGAGGCAGCAGUGGGGAAUAUUGGACAAUGGGCGAAAGCCUGAUACAGCCAUGCCGCGUGUGUGAAGAAGGUCUUCGGAUUGUAAAGCACUUUAAGUUGGGAGGAAGGGCAGUAAGUUAAUACCUUGCUGUUUUGACGUUACCAACAGAAUAAGCACCGGCUAACUUCGUG